UAGAAAUGAUGUUCACUCUCUUCCUAGAC
rnacentral:piRNA from 1 species